UGUGAGCUCGAUGAGUAGGGCGGGACACGUGGUAUCCUGUCUGAAUAUGGGGGGACCAUCCUCCAAGGCUAAAUACUCCUGACUGACCGAUAGUGAACCAGUACCGUGAGGGAAAGGCGAAAAGAACCCCGGCGAGGGGAGUGAAAAAGAACCUGAAACCGUGUACGUACAAGCAGUGGGAGCCUCUUUUAUGGGGUGACUGCGUACCUUUUGUAUAAUGGGUCAGCGACUUAUAUUCUGUAGCAAGGUUAACCGAAUAGGGGAGCCGAAGGGAAACCGAGUCUUAACUGGGCGUUAAGUUGCAGGGUAUAGACCCGAAACCCGGUGAUCUAGCCAUGGGCAGGUUGAAGGUUGGGUAACACUAACUGGAGGACCGAACCGACUAAUGUUGAAAAAUUAGCGGAUGACUUGUGGCUGGGGGUGAAAGGCCAAUCAAACCGGGAGAUAGCUGGUUCUCCCCGAAAGCUAUUUAGGUAGCGCCUCGUGAAUUCAUCUCCGGGGGUAGAGCACUGUUUCGGCAAGGGGGUCAUCCCGACUUACCAACCCGAUGCAAACUGCGAAUACCGGAGAAUGUUAUCACGGGAGACACACGGCGGGUGCUAACGUCCGUCGUGAAGAGGGAAACAACCCAGACCGCCAGCUAAGGUCCCAAAGUCAUGGUUAAGUGGGAAACGAUGUGGGAAGGCCCAGACAGCCAGGAUGUUGGCUUAGAAGCAGCCAUCAUUUAAAGAAAGCGUAAUAGCUCACUGGUCGAGUCGGCCUGCGCGGAAGAUGUAACGGGGCUAAACCAUGCACCGAAGCUGCGGCAGCGACGCUUAUGCGUUGUUGGGUAGGGGAGCGUUCUGUAAGCCUGUGAAGGUGUGCUGUGAGGCAUGCUGGAGGUAUCAGAAGUGCGAAUGCUGACAUAAGUAACGAUAAAGCGGGUGAAAAGCCCGCUCGCCGGAAGACCAAGGGUUCCUGUCCAACGUUAAUCGGGGCAGGGUGAGUCGACCCCUAAGGCGAGGCCGAAAGGCGUAGUCGAUGGGAAACAGGUUAAUAUUCCUGUACUUGGUGUUACUGCGAAGGGGGGACGGAGAAGGCUAUGUUGGCCGGGCGACGGUUGUCCCGGUUUAAGCGUGUAGGCUGGUUUUCCAGGCAAAUCCGGAAAAUCAAGGCUGAGGCGUGAUGACGAGGCACUACGGUGCUGAAGCAACAAAUGCCCUGCUUCCAGGAAAAGCCUCUAAGCAUCAGGUAACAUCAAAUCGUACCCCAAACCGACACAGGUGGUCAGGUAGAGAAUACCAAGGCGCUUGAGAGAACUCGGGUGAAGGAACUAGGCAAAAUGGUGCCGUAACUUCGGGAGAAGGCACGCUGAUAUGUAGGUGAAGUCCCUUGCGGAUGGAGCUGAAAUCAGUCGAAGAUACCAGCUGGCUGCAACUGUUUAUUAAAAACACAGCACUGUGCAAACACGAAAGUGGACGUAUACGGUGUGACGCCUGCCCGGUGCCGGAAGGUUAAUUGAUGGGGUCAGCGCAAGCGAAGCUCUUGAUCGAAGCCCCGGUAAACGGCGGCCGUAACUAUAACGGUCCUAAGGUAGCGAAAUUCCUUGUCGGGUAAGUUCCGACCUGCACGAAUGGCGUAAUGAUGGCCAGGCUGUCUCCACCCGAGACUCAGUGAAAUUGAACUCGCUGUGAAGAUGCAGUGUACCCGCGGCAAGACGGAAAGACCCCGUGAACCUUUACUAUAGCUUGACACUGAACAUUGAGCCUUGAUGUGUAGGAUAGGUGGGAGGCUUUGAAGUGUGGACGCCAGUCUGCAUGGAGCCGACCUUGAAAUACCACCCUUUAAUGUUUGAUGUUCUAACGUGGACCCGUGAUCCGGGUUGCGGACAGUGUCUGGUGGGUAGUUUGACUGGGGCGGUCUCCUCCUAAAGAGUAACGGAGGAGCACGAAGGUUGGCUAAUCCUGGUCGGACAUCAGGAGGUUAGUGCAAUGGCAUAAGCCAGCUUGACUGCGAGCGUGACGGCGCGAGCAGGUGCGAAAGCAGGUCAUAGUGAUCCGGUGGUUCUGAAUGGAAGGGCCAUCGCUCAACGGAUAAAAGGUACUCCGGGGAUAACAGGCUGAUACCGCCCAAGAGUUCAUAUCGACGGCGGUGUUUGGCACCUCGAUGUCGGCUCAUCACAUCCUGGGGCUGAAGUAGGUCCCAAGGGUAUGGCUGUUCGCCAUUUAAAGUGGUACGCGAGCUGGGUUUAGAACGUCGUGAGACAGUUCGGUCCCUAUCUGCCGUGGGCGCUGGAGAACUGAGGGGGGCUGCUCCUAGUACGAGAGGACCGGAGUGGACGCAUCACUGGUGUUCGGGUUGUCAUGCCAAUGGCACUGCCCGGUAGCUAAAUGCGGAAGAGAUAAGUGCUGAAAGCAUCUAAGCACGAAACUUGCCCCGAGAUGAGUUCUCCCUGACCCUUUAAGGGUCCUGAAGGAACGUUGAAGACGACGACGUUGAUAGGCCGGGUGUGUAAGCGCAGCGAUGCGUUGAGCUAACCGGUACUAAUGAACCGUGAGGCUUAACC
rnacentral:rRNA from 1 species